CUCUGGCCUUCUUGUUCUCUGUCUGCUCUCCCCUCUCUGUUCCUCCUCUUCCUGGAAAUCACAUGUGUCCUUUUAUUUGUGUUACGUCAUCCUCCCCUCCCUCUGUUGGACAUGUUGCUGCUGCAGUAAUCUUUAUAAGUAGCUGUUAGCCCUGUGCCACACACCCUUCACUGCACGGAGCGGACGGAGAUCCCUGAGGAGACACGGCGAAGGAGAAGAGGAUCAGUGUUCAAGAGCAACUGUGCACCAGAGACUUGGAGCUGUUAGCGGGUAGCAUGCGGCCGUACUUUCUUCCGAGGGAGUUUUCACAUGUUAUUGCUGUAACUGUACAUCCAGCUCCACAAACAGACUGAAAAACUCUGUCAUCCCCCCGGCCAUCAGACUGUACAACAGCUCUCGGUCAGUGCAGGGAGGACAAUAGAUAAUAGACAAUGUCCACCUCCAUUUGUUUUCCUGGACAUUCUUUCAUUCACUGUUAUUUCUGACUCCAUCUGCACUACCUCUGCUGAAUGCUGUGACUUUCAUUCAUUGGUUGACAGGCUCAUUUUAAUUGCACAUAGUUUACAUUUUAUUUAUACUUUUACUUUUUGUAUAGUUUUCUGUUUGUAUAGAUAUAGGUUAACUUUAAUUUUAAUGUAUGUUUAAUGUAUGUUUGUAUGCCACUACUAGAUCUAUCUAUCUAUCUAUCUAUCUAUCUAUCUAUCUAUCUAUCUAUCUAUCUAUCUAUCUAUCUAUCUAUCUAUCGGCCCUCGCUGCUGCAGCUACAGAUCAGAUCCACACUGUCGUCUCCUGGCUUCAAAACCAGGUGAAUAAACAACCACCUGAGAAGAGGCCUGUGAAGGUCUGAGGAGACCAGUGCUAGGCUCAGCGACUGCUUUGAGACAACAGACUGGGAAACACUCUACAGUCCCCACAGCAUUGACAUUGACAGUAUGACCUGCUCCAGGUGGUGUUUGACUGGUGAAAGCAACGAUCACAACGCCAUAAGGAACAGUGCUGCUUUGUUAUUUAAUGUGUAUUUCCUCUUUUCUUAUCUGCUGUGUGACAUCUAGAGCUGCUGUAACAAGUGAAUUUCCCGAGUGUCUUAUCUUAUCUUAUAAAUACAUAUGGGUCUGUAUAUAUAUGCAUAUAUACAUAUAAAUAUGUACAUGCAUAACCAUACGGUUAACCCACCAUACUUUAUAAGUAUUGAGGAGCAUACCCAUUGAUAAUAUUGUACAUAUGGUUCAGCUUCUGUUGUUCUACUCUGAGCUGUACUGGCAGCAGUCACUAUUAUUGUGCAUCACCUGCAGUUGGUUCCUAAGUUUAGUUGUCAAGCCACGAUACCAAGCAGGACAUGCAUAACCCAAAUAAUAAUAUAAUAUGAGACAAGACACUUUAGCUAAUUUGUUCUUGACAGCUUCUUCUUUGUUCCAAACCGGAUUGACCCAGUUUUACCCAAACAUAUUAAAGGCUCAUUAUCUAAGAA